rnacentral:rRNA from 1 species
CAGCAGCCACGGUAAAACGGAGGGGGCUAGCGUUGUUCGGAAUUACUGGGCGUAAAGCGCACGUAGGCGGCUUGGUAAGUUAGAGGUGAAAGCCCGGAGCUCAACUCCGGAAUUGCCUUUAAGACUGCCGAGCUAGUAGGUGAGAGAGGUAAGUGGAAUUCCGAGUGUAGAGGUGAAAUUCGUAGAUAUUCGGAAGAACACCAGCGGCGAAGGCGGCUUACUGGCUCAUUCUAGACGCUGAGGUGCGAAAGCGUGGGGAGCAAACAGGAUUAGAUACCCGCGUAGUCCCUGUCUCUUAUAA